UAGCCUGGUAGCAAUACUAGGUUGAGCCAGUGGCGAACGGGUGCGUAACACGUGAGUCAUCUGCCUGAAAGUGGGGGAUAGCUCGCCGAAAGGCGAAUUAAUACCGCAUGUGCCCCGAAGCAAUUCGGGGUAAAGCCGGGGCAACCUGGCGCUUUUAGAUGAGCUCGCGGCCUAUCAGCUUGUUGGUAAGGUAACGGCUUACCAAGGCUUCGACGGGUAGCUGGUCUGAGAGGACGACCAGCCACACUGGAACUGAGACACGGUCCAGACACCUACGGGUGGCAGCAGUCGAGAAUUUUUCUCAAUGGGGGAAACCCUGAAGGAGCGACGCCGCGUGGAGGAUGAAGGCUUUCGGGUUGUAAACUCCUGUCAUUUGGGAACAAUACCUUACGUUAACUGCGUGGAGGUUUGAUAGUACCAGAAGAGGAAGAGACGGCUAACUCUGUGCCAGCAGCCGCGGUAAUACAGAGGUCUCGAGCGUUGUUCGGAUUCAUUGGGCGUAAAGGGCGCGUAGGCUGCGGGGCAAGUCGGGUGUGAAAUCUCAGAGCUCAACUCUGAAACUGCACUCGAUACUGCUUUGCUAGAGGACUGGAGAGGAGAUUGGAAUUCACGGUGUAGCA
rnacentral:rRNA from 1 species